GACGAACGCUGGCGGCGUGCUUAACACAUGCAAGUCGAACGGAAAGGCCCUGCUUUUGUGGGGUGCUCGAGUGGCGAACGGGUGAGUAACACGUGAGUAACCUGCCCUUGACUUUGGGAUAACUUCAGGAAACUGGGCCUAAUACCGGAUAGGAGCUCCUGUUGCAUGGUGGGCGUUGGAAAGUUUCGGCGGUUGGGGUUGGAUUCGCGGCUUAUCAGCUUGUUGGUGGGGUAGUGGCUUACCAAGGCUUUGACGGGUAGCCGGCCUGAGAGGGUGACCGGCCACAUUGGGACUGAGAUACGGCGCAGUGUCCUACGUGAGGCAGCAGUGGGGAAUAUUGCACAAUGGGCGGAAGCCUGAUGCAGCAACGCCGGGUGCGGGAUGACGUCCUUCGGGGUGUGAACCGCUUUCGCCUGUGACGAAGCGGGAGUGACGGUAAUGGGUAAAGAAGCACCGGCUAACUACGUG
rnacentral:rRNA from 1 species